CGCCAAACUGACAAAUUCAAAACCCACGCAGAAAGGAAAGAUUUUCUCACUUUGCCAGGGAGAUUAUGUAAAAAAAAAAAAAAAAAUGAAGUUGUUUGAUAUAUAACAAAUGUCCAUUUUCUGAGUCAUCUUAGGAUGUUUAGUUAAUAAUGGAAUGGAAAUAAUUCCACAAACAAUAACCCUGCAACAAAAAUACUUAAAUACACUCAAAAGACGGGUCAAUGAGAAUAAAAUUAUGUUUUGAACAGCUUGCUGGCUUGGUCUUUCCCCCCAUAAUGAGGAAAACACAAGACAAUACGCUUUGCAAAUAUGGCCUACAACUUAAUGUCAAGGACGAGGUCAGGUCAAUUCUAGGUAAUGUAGGACAGAGAGCAAAGAUUGUGUGUCCUCUGUAGUCUCUCUGUUGUUGCUGUUGUUGUUCUUUAUUAUUAUAGAUUUCAGUUUAGCGCUCUUACAGUGUUGAAAUACUCCAUUCCAGACGACAUGAAGGCCUCCGCCACCUCUUUGGUCGUCACCACACACGACAUGGGGUGGCCGUUGCCAAUGGGCUUCCCCAUGGUGACAAUGUCAGGCACAAAGUCCUCUCCCUGAAGCUGGAAGGCCCAGAAGUGGGCGCCAACGCGCCCGAAGCCCACCUGGACCUCGUCAGCGAUGAACAGGCCCCCUGCCUUACGGACGUGCCUGUGGGGGUGCAGCGUGGAGGUAGACGCAGGCAUUCACUUACACACUAGGGUUAAACAGUCAAAAGCCGUUUUCACGCAUGAACUCCAGACAAUGUCGUUAGAAAUGGGUGUGUAUUUGUUGUUCAUCGUUUCGAGCAUACUUUGUCGUAUGUGUCCCGCACAUUUUGUGCACAUUGUGCAGUCAGAGAAUCCUUUGCAGAAGUCCACAUGUAAGGAUUUCCACCUGACAUAAAUAGUUUUAAAUUACCCCGAGGCAUGGGCUGUGAAUAUGAAUGCGUCGCAUGGGUACAUACUCUGCCACUUGCUGGAAAUAGCCCAUGGGGGGAACAACCUGCCCGCCACAACUCUGCAAAGACUCAGCAAUAAAAGCAGCAAUCUGUACAAGAAAAAACAAAACAGAUCAGUUGUACCAAUACACAACCAGAUCAACAGGUUCAGAGGAGGAGUCCUAGCAUAGUUGACCUGGUGGAAUCCCCCUUUGUGUCAAUUUUCAGAGAAGCAAUCAUGAAUUGCUUUGAGAUCGUGUUACCGUAGUUCACAAGCACUCCUGUGUCGAUGCAUAUCUGCACAAACAUCCAACACUAACUGCUUAAUAUAUAACUGUGCCCAUCUCUGGACAGGCAUCACGUCCCCCUCACCGCUGGAUGCAUGGACAUACCCUCCGGGUUGUGCUUUUAAACAUUGGAUAAAGGGCCAACAAGUUUGGACACAGAGAGUCCCCUACGGCCUACACAUGUUCUUGUGAUCUAGGAUUUUGGCCCUAAAAGCCACUGUAGAUUUCUAAAGGUAAAAACAAACUGCCAGGUAGUUUUCAUGCUUGAGUAAAUUUGAAAUGUACAUUUUUUUUAAAUAAACCAUUUUGACUUCAUUGUGAAGGCAUAUCGGAUCACUGAUCAACUUUAAAGAUCCGCUAUUUUACCCCUUUUAACACGUUUAUAUUUGAUCUCUGAGGUCCCCAAAACAUGUCUUCGAAGUUUCCUUCUUAAAAUACCCCUCAGGUCCCUCAUACUGUGAUCCUCUAAAGACCUCUGAAGCCCUCCAUCUCAGCCCUUCUCGGAUGAGCUGUUUCUGUGUCUGUAGCUUUUAUGUAAAUGAGCUUUGGCUGGUUCCGCCCCUCUCAGGAAGUGGAUGUGGCCUAGUCUUUCUGGGGCCUCGCCCCUUUGUUUACACUGAGCGAACACAGACACGGCUCGUCUGAGGCGAUCUAGCAGAACAACCACACAAUUUUGAACCAGAAUCUGAAGAAGUAGAAGCUGCUGCAGAGGCGGAGAAGCUGUGGAUGCAGCGCAACGUUUCUGAAUGGAGCUUUGGGAGCUGGUGCUGGGGCUUUCUUGGGCGGACAAUCAGCGUCGUCAUUCCAGUCUGUGGAUCUUUGCAUUCUCGAAUGUUGGAAUUAGAGCCCUUGGUUAAACCAUGUCACAUAUCUGGCUAUGACCUCCUCCUUGUCUGGCCGCUCAUACUGUGCAGCGAUGGCCUCUGGAAUGGGAAUUUUCAAUAUGGCAUCCUUGUAGGGUCCACAAAGACUUUUUCAAAGACGAGGUCCAUCAAGUCAGCCACAUACCCUGUGCAAUAUUAGACCGGCGAACACCGGGGUGAGCAACGGUGUUCCCCGGCGUCACCCCGGUGUUCACCCCGUUGUUCACCCCGGUGUUCGCAGGUGUAAGCUAAAUGAAAACACGAGUACAGGGCCAGAUUACCGCUAUAACUCUGAAUAAUAAAGUGGUGUUCAGUCA